GCCCGAUGACGUCAGGGCGGAUCCAGGCCGUGGUCUUGGCGUAAGAAAAGCUGCGGGACUGACGUCAAUGAUUUUUGUUUUGUACUUUCCACCUCCUCUGAGUUUCAGGAUUGCCACUGGGGUGUUUCAUUGUGGAUUGUGCGUGUUUGUGGUUGUUUUUUCGGGGGGUGGAGGGGUGUCUCUGCAGCCCCAGCGAACCAAACCUGGCCCUGAUUCCUCCACCUGGCCCCAGUCUACAGGCGAGUCAGCAAGAGUCCUGGAAGAUCAGAGGUCACGAGGUCCCGAGGUUGUCAGGGGGAGAGGAGGAAGUGAAGUGUGGUGCGUGGCUUUCUGGGAAAUGGAGUCCCCGGUGCCGCGCAUGCCCAGGAGGCCAUGGGGGCGGGGCUGUUGAAAGGCUCCUGGCUCUCAGUCUUCUUCCCCAGCUUGGUGCUCAGCCCCCCGAGCUGCGUCCUCUCCUUCCUGCUCCCCUGAGACUCCGGUUCAGGGUGAGAUCUCUCUGCCUUCCCUGGACCUGAGAUCUCUCUGUCUUCUGGGAGCCAGCUCUGCACAAGCAGGUGCCAGGCCAGUUUGCAGACAACCAGAGCUGGAUCCAGAGAGGAUGGCCCCAGGGACCCAGAGACCCUCAUCCCAGGUGAGUGCAGCCCAUCCCCAGACCUGACCAGCAUCAGCAAAGGUGGAAUCCAGCAGAGCCCAGGAAGCUUUAUCCUGUUACAUGUACAUUGUCCUCUGCAGGGCUGUCAGCAGAGCAGACAUUGUCCUCCUGGUUCUGCUCAUUUCCUUCUGCCUCAGGCCACCCCAGUCUCCCCUGCUCUCUCUGAAUC